CCUACGGGAGACAGCAGUGAGGAAUAUUGGUCAAUGGCCGCAGGGCUGAACCAGCCAAGUCGCGUGAGGGAUGACGGUCCUAUGGAUUGUAAACCUCUUUUGUCAGGGAGCAAAGGGCGCCACGUGUGGCGCUUUGCGAGUACCUGAAGAAAAAGCAUCGGCUAACUCCGUGCCAGCAGCCGCGGUAAUACGGAGGAUGCGAGCGUUAUCCGGAUUUAUUGGGUUUAAAGGGUGCGCAGGCGGAAUGUCAAGUCAGCGGUAAAAUUUCGGGGCUCAACCCCGUAGUGCCGUUGAAACUGGCGUUCUUGAGUGAGCGAGAAGUAUGCGGAAUGCGUGGUGUAGCGGUGAAAUGCAUAGAUAUCACGCAGAACUCCGAUUGCGAAGGCAGCAUACCGGCGCUCAACUGACGCUCAUGCACUAAAGCGUGGGUAUCGAACAGGAUUAGAUACCCUAGUAGUC
rnacentral:rRNA from 1 species